CGCCGACGCACCCCAUCCCGGUAGCGCCUCCGACCCGACCAGAACGGCCAGGUGGACGCCCGCGCUCGCGGCUCAGCAGUUGCAGUCAGAUUUUGUGCAGUAAAACAAUUGCAUCACAUGCUGCAAAAUUUCCGAGGGAAGGUUCCUUCAUAUGGAACUGAACAUCCAAUAUCUGGAGACCAGUCAUGUGAGAAGGAGG